GACGAACGCUGGCGGCGUGCCUAAUACAUGCAAGUAGAACGCACAGUUUAUACCGUAGCUUGCUACACCAUAGACUGUGAGUUGCGAACGGGUGAGUAACGCGUAGGUAACCUGCCUGGUAGCGGGGGAUAACUAUUGGAAACGAUAGCUAAUACCGCAUAAUAUUAAUUAUUGCAUGAUAAUUAAUUGAAAGGUGCAAUUGCACCACUACCAGAUGGACCUGCGUUGUACUAGCUAGUAGGUGAGGUAACGGCUCACCUAGGCGACGAUACAUAGCCGACCUGAGAGGGUGAUCGGCCACACUGGGACUGAGACACGGCCCAGACUCCUACGGGAGGCAGCAGUAGGGAAUCUUCGGCAAUGGACGAAAGUCUGACCGAGCAACGCCGCGUGAGUGAAGAAGGUUUUCGGAUCGUAAAGCUCUGUUGUAAGAGAAGAACGGGUGUGAGAGUGGAAAGUUCACACUGUGACGGUAUCUGACCAGAAAGGGACGGCUAACUACGUG
rnacentral:rRNA from 1 species